UUGAGGGUCACACUUUAAACCCGACCCGCCGCCUCUUAUCACCACCGCCAGCGCCACCGCAAGAAAAUGAGCAAGAGGGUGUCCGGUCCCAAGCUGAGGCGUAUGUAUUGGGGUUUGGGUCGACUCCGGUCGAUUCUCAUGGCGACGGCGACAAUUGACAUUGCUAAUUUGCAAGUGUUUGUAGAGAAUGGAGGACGGACAUUGCUGAGCUAUCUGGGCCUGACUUUCGAGGUUUGCAUUACAUCGGUGGAUGGUAAACUAAAAUCUGCUGGUCGACAUUGUUCUCGCCUGCAAAGUACAUGGCUUUCGAACUACAUAUGGACAACCUAAAGCUAGCGCUCUCGUAUACUUGUCCCCAGAGACCUUGCGGUUGCGGUUUCAGAUCCCCUGCCACUGUUCAACUAGAACUUGGUCUGGUUGAUACAUUUCUCAGAUUUUGUAGGCUUGGAUGGCAAGCUGGCUGGUUGAAAUUGAUUUCAGUUUCUUUUGUCCUUUGCUCCUCACCCAACAGAGUUGAACAGAUACUGCUUUAUUUUGGGUUCGAACAUGUAACAGCUGCUGCUGCCUCUCACAGUGUUGGUAAACUUAUGGGAAAAAGCAGAUGGGGCACCUUUCGCGAGUCAUAAUGUACAAAAACGUCAACCACUACCUAUUUUCCUUGAGCUCGUCCGAGGCCCGUUUAUCUCUAGGGUUACAAUUCAUUGAUUUCCUUGGCGGGAAAAGCUCUCUGCGGAUAUCUGCAAACAGUUCAACUUGAGCUGAGAAAGUCCUUAGCUUGGAGGCAUUGCCAGAUCCUAUAUUACAUGUUUGAGAACGGUUGAUCAUUUUUUAAGCAAACCACGAGGCAGUAAAAGUAAUUUCAGCUUCGCAUCUCUCUUGGGUACCACCAAUGACAUCGAGUGAAGAACAGGCCGCCCUGGUGAAUUUCUUCCCAGUGCUACCUUGCUCUGUUUAUCUGCUUUUCCACAUAAUUGUGUCCAAGAAGAUGCUGCUUUAGUUGCUGAAGAGCUAUCUGCUAUGAAUUUGAAUCCUUACAGCCAUUCACUUCCCCUAUUCGGAGCUCUAGGAAAGUUCGUCUUAAAGAGCGACCGUCAGGUAAUAGUUAUAUUGGAUCCUCCAAUGCCGUACACAUAAUAUCUUCCAUUUGGUUUAAGAUCUGAAAUUCUAAUGCUAUGAAUUGUUUGGCCUCAUUUAGUCAAUAUUUCCAAAUUUUGAGAUACCGUAU